rnacentral:sRNA from 1 species
UCUGUACAGGCUGUGCACUCCGUGGAAGAGGAUGACCUUCCCUCACAGAGGAGGAUGGUUCUUUAGUGAAGGGUAUACAAGUUGCUGUGCUCCUCUGCUUGAAACUUCAAACAAGCUCCCAUUUGCACAUUUAGUAGUUAGU